rnacentral:rRNA from 1 species
AUUGAACGCUGGCGGCAGGCCUAACACAUGCAAGUCGAACGGUAACAGGAAGAAGCUUGCUUCUUUGCUGACGAGUGGCGGACGGGUGAGUAAUGUCUGGGAAACUGCCUGAUGGAGGGGGAUAACUACUGGAAACGGUAGCUAAUACCGCAUAACGUCGCAAGACCAAAGAGGGGGACCUUCGGGCCUCUUGCCAUCGGAUGUGCCCAGAUGGGAGUAGCUAGUAGGUGGGGUAACGUCUCACCUAGGCGACGAUCCCUAGCUGGUCUGAGAGGAUGACAAGCGACCCGGGAGGGGGAACAGGGUCCAGGCGACUGAGAGACGCCCCAGAGGCGUAUGGGGGGCAACAGGGGGAAGGAUGGUGCAAUGAUGCGGAGUGUGAGGAGAAGGCGCUCGGGGUGUAAAGUACUUUCUGGGGGGGGAAAGGGCGUAAGGUUGAUACCAUGGCUGAUUGACGUUAACGGGUAAAGAAGCACCGGCUAACUACGUG